GCUUUAAUAUUUGAGGGCAUCAGGCCAUCCAUCAACUCAUGGACCUUCCACUUCAUUGAGGAGGCCAAGUUACAAUCUCACAGAUUAAAAGAUAACAGUAGAGAGGACUUUCUAAAUUGGGUCAAUUCUGUACAGUAGCUACCAUGUGUAGCAUCUGAAGUUGUUUUUUUUUAUGGGGAUCAUGCCAUCCCCAUGCUUUGUACAGCUUUUUACUUAUUUUUUUUAAUUUUAAUAUACUACCACAGUGGGGGUCUCCCCUGCUG